UACAGAGGUCUCAAGCGUUUGUUCGGAUUCAUUGGGGCGUAAAGGGUGCGUAGGCGGCGCGGUAAGUCGGGUGUGAAAUCUCGGGCUUAACUCCGAAACUGCAUUCGAUACUGCCGUGCUUGAGGACUGGAGAGGAGACGUGGAAUUUACGGUGUAGCGGUGAAAUGCGUAGAUAUCGUAAGGAAGACCAGUGGCGAAGGCGGGUCUCUGGACAGU
rnacentral:rRNA from 1 species